rnacentral:rRNA from 1 species
UACGAAGGGUGCAAGCGUUAAUCGGAAUUACUGGGCGUAAAGCGCGCGCAGGCGGUUUUUUAAGUCUGGUGUUUAAGCCUGGGGCUCAACCCCGGUUCGCAUCGGAAACUGGAAGACUUGAGUGCAGGAGAGGAAAGUGGAAUUCCACGUGUAGCGGUGAAAUGCGUAGAGAUGUGGAGGAACACCAGUGGCGAAGGCGACUUUCUGGACUGUAACUGACGCUGAGGCGCGAAAGCGUGGGGAGCAAACAGG